rnacentral:rRNA from 1 species
CAGGGNGGUAGUGNCAAUAAAUNCCUUACAGAGGUNUCGUUAACCGAGAUNUNUCAAACGGAAUGAGUACAACGUGAAUCCUUUAACGAGGAUCGACUGGAGGGCAAGCCUGGUGCCAGCAGCCGCGGUAAUUCCAGCUCCAGUAGCGUAUAUUAAAGCUGUUGCGGUUAAAAAGCUCGUAGUUGGAUAUCAGUGCGUGUCCGGUCCGGUAUGCCCGGCGGCGGCGCUCGCGCGUCACUGCUGGGCUCCCAAAUAUCGGCUGGCCGCAUUCAAUCGUGCCGGAUCCGUCGACGGGCCGUUCUUCGGAGGGGCCUGUUGGCGACCGGCGACGUUACCUUGAACAAAUUAGAGUGCUCAAAGCAGGCUCUGAAUGCCUGUAUACAUAUUCAUGGAAUUGGAGAAUACGUCCCUGGCUCGAUUUGGUUGGUUUUGAGAGUCGAAGGGAAAUGAUUAAUAGGGACUGACGGAGGCAUUCGUAUUGCGACGCGAGGGGUGAAAUCCUGUGACCGUCGCACGACGAACUACUGCGAAAGCAUUUGCCGAGAAUGUUUUCAUUAGUCAAGAACGAAAGUUAGAGGUUCGAAGGCGAUCAGAUACCGCCCUAGUUCUAACCGUAAACGAUGUCGACCAGCAAUCCGCAACGGUCACUACACGGACUGUGCGGGCAGCUUCCCCGGGGAAACCAGAGUGUAUGGACUCCGGGGGAAGUAUGGUUGCAAAGCUGAAACUUAAAGGAAUUGACGGAAGGGCACCACCAGGAGUGGAGCUUGCGGCUUAAUUUGACUCAACACGGGACAACUCACCAGGCCCGGACACCGUAAGGAUUGACAGACUGAUAGCUCUCUCUUGAUUCAGUGGGUGGUGGUGCAUGGCCGUUCUUAGUUGGUGGAGUGAUUUGUCUGGUUUAUUCCGAUAACGAACGAGACUCUGGCCUAUUAAACUUGACGCCGUCAGUCUCUUGUGACUGCGGUGCGC